GUGGAGAAAUUUCAGAAGGAUAAAUGAAACGAGGAGCUUCCUGUAUCUUCUAUUCAUUUAUUUCUCCGUGUUAUAUAGCAAGCUCAUAAUAUUUCUUGUGAAUUUAUUAUGAUAAUGCAGUGUCUAGAGCNNNNNNNNNCCUGUUUUGUAUCUUUGUUGUUAGAAUCAAAGAUUGGCUAACCCUUUUAGCUUGUACCCGC
rnacentral:misc_RNA from 1 species